UCAGAAAUGAAGAAGAAGCACAAACAGGAGACUGAUUGAUUGGUGACACAACUCACCUGCUCGUCUUCACGCAGGUGUUUCUCAAUCAGCUGAUGAGCGCUGAUUGCUUCCUCCUCCUCCUCUUCUUAUUUAAUCUUCCUCCAGCGAAGAGUUCCGUGAUGUUAGUUGAAAAGACGCUGCACGAGACGUGGAAGGAAAAAAAAAAGAUGCUAAAAAAAGUGUCACUGCUGAACUACUGAAGCUGUUCCGGGAGGAGUGAACUUGUGGCGGUAAUGCACCAAACGCCCCAAAACCUCAAAGAAGAAGGAGAGAACUUUUAAAAAGAGAAGAAAAAUGAACAAAAAACUACCGCGGCGUGACGUCACACGCCGAAAAGGUGGUCGCGUGCAUCAGCUCCUGUAUGCAAACGCAGCAAGGCGCUCCGGGAUGGCGUGUUCGACCUGGUCCAGAUUGGUGGCCCGUCCAGAAUGAUCCAUACGAGUUGGCUCCCUCAUCUUCCGUCUAUUGCGUAUCCUGAUAUCGUCAACUACCUGGUUUUCUCGCCAAGCCCAUACACAGCGGGAGACGUUUUGAGGCCUAUAACAGAUGGCGUUGUGGAUGGGUGAGGGAGAUGCAGUAUCAAGUCAUCGACCACAGAUGUGUUGUGAAUGCCAAAGUUCUCCAUUCUCAAUCAAUUCAAGCGACAACCCUG